GAUGAACGCUGGCGGCGUGCCUAAUACAUGCAAGUCGAGCGAACAGAUGAGGAGCUUGCUCCUCUGACGUUAGCGGCGGACGGGUGAGUAACACGUGGAUAACCUACCUAUAAGACUGGGAUAACUUCGGGAAACCGGAGCUAAUACCGGAUAAUAUAUUGAACCGCAUGGUUCAAUAGUGAAAGACGGUUUUGCUGUCACUUAUAGAUGGAUCCGCGCGGCAUUAGCUAGUUGUUAAGUUAACGGCUUACCAAGGCAACGAUGCGUAGCCGACCUGAGAGGGUGAUCGGCCACACUGGAACUGAGACACGGUCCAGACUCCUACGGGAGGCAGCAGUAGGGAAGCUUCCGCAAUGGGCGAAAGCCUGACGGAGCAACGCCGCGUGAGUGAUGAAGGUCUUCGGAUCGUAAAACUCUGUUAUUAGGGAAGAACAAAUGUGUAAGUAACUAUGCACGUCUUGACGGUACCUAAUCAGAAAGCCACGGCUAACUACGUG
rnacentral:rRNA from 1 species